GUGUGCCUACGGGACGCAGCAGUGGGGAAUAUUGCACAAUGGGGGAAACCCUGAUGCAGCAACGCCGCGUGAAGGAAGACGGUUUUCGGAUUGUAAACUUCUGUUCUUAGUGAAGAAGAAUGACGGUAGCUAAGGAGCAAGCCACGGCUAACUACGUGCCAGCAGCCGCGGUAAUACGUAGGUGGCAAGCGUUGUCCGGAUUUACUGGGUGUAAAGGGCGUGUAGCCGGGUUGACAAGUCAGAUGUGAAAUCCUGCGGCUUAACCGCAGAACUGCAUUUGAAACUGUUGAUCUUGAGUACUGGAG
rnacentral:rRNA from 1 species